rnacentral:lncRNA from 13 species
CGGAGCGGCCGGGUCCCGCGCCCGGGCGACCCUGGCGCCCCGCCGCCGCCUGACUUCUCGGCGCCCGAGUUCGCGAGCGCAGAGGCGGGGCGGCCGGGGAUCUCCAAGCGCCGCGGCGCCCUCCUCCCGCCUGCCCGCUCGGCAAGGGCGGAGGAGGCGGAGAAGGCUGGCAGGCGGCGGUCCGGAGAGCGAGUGCGGCGGCCCGACCCGGGCCAUGGCGCCCGUUCAGGGCCGGCUGCUGCAGCUGCAGCUGCUGCUGCUGCCGCUGUCGCCGCCGCCGCCGCCCGCGCCAACUCGGACCGCUACGCCGUCUACUGGAACCGCAGCAACCCCAGGUUCCACGCAGGCGCGGGGUACGACGGUGGGGACUACACGGUGGAGGUGAGCAUCAACGACUACCUGAAAUCUACUGCCGCACUAAGGGGCGCCGCUGCCGCCGGCUGAGCAUGGAGCACUACGUGCUGUGCAUGGUCAACGGCCAGGGCCACGCCUCCUGCGACCAUCGCCAGCGCGGCUUCAAGCUCUGGGAGUGCAACCGUCCCGCCGCUCCCGGGGGCCCGCAACCGUCCCGCCGCUCCCGGGGACCCGCUCAAGUUCUCGGAGAAGUUCCAGCUCUUCACGCCCUUCUCCCUGGGCUUUGAGUUCUGGCCGGGCCAUGAGUACUACUACAUCUCUGCCACGCCUUCCCAUGCUGUGGACCGGCCCUGCCUGCCACUGAAAGUGUAUUUGCGGCCGACCAGUGAGACCCUGUACGAGGCUCCUGAGCCGAUCUUUACCAGCAAUAACUCGUGCAGCAGCCUAGGCAGCUGCCACCUCUUCCUCAGCACCGUCCCUGUGCUCUGGACUCUCGUGGCCUCCUAGUCCCAGCCCCGCAGGACGCCGGCCCUGCUGAAGGGCCCCUCCUGGACUGCCUGACCUCGGCCCUCCGGACUGACCCUGUGGUCCCCGCCUCCGACGCUCCUUCUCCUUCGACUGGUGCUGACCCUGCCGGGCAGGAGCCGGCCACCCGCCCAGGACCAGCCCUCGGGGAGGGGACGGCCAAGAGCCCCCCGAGGCCCGAGGGGCUGGGGUGUCGCUGCAGCCCCGGCCAAACCAUCUCUUCUGGGACGACAGAGAACCCGGAAACCUCUUGGAGAUUUUUUUUUUAAUUUAUUUUUCAUAGCUGGAUCAAAAACGCUUUAGUUUUUAAUUUAAUUUAUUCCCUGCUGUUCAGGGGGGCGGGGUCCGUGUGCCCCAGCCUGGGGGAGGGGAACUCAGAACUUGGAACAUGGGGUCAGGGACACAGCUGCUCCUCUCUGCUCUGCACCCCACUUAGGGGGCUCUGGCUGCAGCCCACCACGGAGGCCCCAGUUGCUCCAGGUUGGGUGAGUCUGAGUCGGAAGGAGUGCAUGGUGAGUGCCCCUGAUUGUUGGGGGGACCUCACACCGCAUCACCCACCCCCGUCCUGCUGGUAAUUUCCUCCCGGUCACUCUUUUACCCGGUGCCCCUCGGAAUCACAGCCCCCCAUGUCUUAGAAACCACUUUCGCCGAGUCAAACACCCCCCCUUCCCAUUCCCACCACCUCACACUGUCCUCCCUGAGGCCAGAAGACCUUCUAUUCCUGUAAAUAGAGCCAGCAAGUGCAUACUGUGAUCUUAUUUUUCAUGUAUUCCUGAGGAUGGACUGGACCGUUUAUGUUUUUUCAGCCCUUCAUAGGGGGUCUUUUAUUUUGGUGGGGGGUGGGUUAGAUUUUUAGAGUAGAAGCUGCACUUCGCAAUAAGCUCAUUUCAUCUGUGAGAGCCCCUCCCUCGACUCUGUGACCUGAUAAUGUUUCUAAGAAAAAGAGAAAAGGACAAAAGGGAGGAAGCCACUACCAAAAACAAAAAUCAACCCCCUCCCUGAAGACACUUUAAUGAAGGAAGCAACACAUUUAUACGGAUUUCAUAUUUCUACCUGCCUUUCCUGACUCUGUGUUUUAUAUAUAUUAUAUAUAAAUAUGAAUUGUGUACGGCUGCCAGCCAGCGGCUCCAGGCACGCCUGGUGGUGGGGGUGAGCGGAGGGCUUUUGUAGGGGGUUGGCGGGGUGAGCCACAUUGCCAGGCCUGGAGCUGGCAACUGGGCCUCCCCUCUUCCAAUCACAGUCAACUUUGGAUUCUGUACUUUUUUAUAAUAAAAUGAGUGUAAACCUAAAAAAAAAAAAAAAA